rnacentral:lncRNA from 1 species
CUUUUUUCACUCAUCUCCUUCACCUUCUUCCUUCUAUCACUAUCAUGCUUCAUCAAACACCUUAUUCCUCUCUCUAUUUGAUCACAUUUCACAAUUUCUCCACUGUCAUUUCUAUAAUCCAUUUUAAUUUCAACUGCUAAUCCCAACUCAAUCACCAUUUGAAAGGCAUUGAAUUGCUGUUCUGCAUACAUUGGCCAUGUGGCAACUGGGACUCCAAACCAUAUGCUCUCUAAUAUAGAAUUCCAUCCACUGUGAGAAACAAAUCCUCCGGUGGCCGGAUGAGCCAAGACAGCCACUUGUGGAGCCCAACCUAUCACCUUUCCAAUCCCAGAUGUUCUUUCCAAGAAUCCUUCAGGCAAGUCUUCUUGUAAAUCCUCAUAGUCACUCGGAGAUUCUAGAAAACCCGGCGCCGGUGGUCGGCGUAGAGACCAUAAGAAUCGAUGCCCACUAUUCUCUAGAGCACAAGCAAUCUCUUUCACUUGAUCUUUACUGAAACUUCCACUGCUUCCAAAGCAUAAGAACACUACGGAUGAUGGAGGUUGAUCAUCAAGCCAUUGCAUGAUUUCUUGAUUAGUGUUUCUUCCAUCUGACCUCACGUCUAAGAUGGGUCCUACGGGGUAGAUUGGAGGGUUUUUCAAAGACUCAAUCGCAUGGGAUUCCAGCUCGAAGAACGUAUUUACUAUAACACCCUUAGCUUCUCCAUAUCUUCUUGUAUUUUCAAGUAGAGGAGGAAACCAUUCUUUGCUCAAAAUUUCAGUAGGCAUAGCCUUAGCAGGAAAUGCGUUUACUAAACCCGGAACUUGUAACUCACCAUCUGACGCGUUGAACUCAAUGGGGUUAAAAUUUUCUUCGUCAUGAAUCUUUUGCACAUGAAGCAUGAAAUUGAGAAAAGCUGCACCCGACGUGUAGAAAAUGUAAGAUGGAACACCAAAUUCAUUCGCCACAUCUAUCAUCGCUGUGAAGAACAUAUCAACAAUGAAACCCACCAACCGAGGCGACUCAACACUUGAACCAGACUCAGUGAUCUUCAUCACAGUUUCUUUAACAUGGGGUUUCUGUUUCUCAAUCAAAGAAGAGAAACUAGAAAUUCCGGUCUCAUCUUUGCGCAGAUAAAUGAAUCGGAGACGAUUGGAGGAGGAAGCAAUCUGAGAUUCAACAUAGCUAUGAACUUUGGAGGGAACUAUAGAAUGAUUCAAGAUAAGUACAGAGAUGGAGAGACUGUGACAGCGGCUAAGAAGAAGCUUCGCUGUUUCCACAGCCGAUACAAGGUGACCCAUAGCAGGGGCGGGGACGAACACAAGCUGUGCUUUUUUCAUUUUUGGAAAUGAUACAAUAUUCUUAUUUUUGCUGCCAAGUAUCGAAAAUGGGGUUAGGAUGAUGAUGAUAAGCUUGAAGUAUUUAUAGCCAUAGUACUACUUGUGGGUGUUGCAAUAAGACAAGAACUGUAUUGUUCUUUCUCUAAGUAUUCUAACACGACAUGUUACCUUGGCGGCCAUGAAUUCAAUUGACGUCAUGGCUUUGCUGGUUUGGUCGAUCUUAUAGACAAGGAUUCUUAUUAAAAAUUAUAAAGUACAUGACCGUAUGACCGAGUCUGUUUGAUUUUUCGUUCUUUUCUUAAUAAAGAAAAGAAUGGCGUCUGCAUCGUUCAUGCGAAGGUUCCAGUUGCCUAACCUUUAUUUUUUAUUAAUAUAAGGGAAAUUUACUUUGUAGUCCCUGAGAUUUAACGUAAUUAACACUUCUGUCCCUCUAUUUUGGCGACCCAACACUUNNNNNNNNNNNNNNNNNNNNNNNNNNNNNNNNNNNNNNNNNNNNNNNNNNNNNNNNNNNNNNNNNNNNNNNNNNNNNNNNNNNNNNNNNNNNNNNNNNNNNNNNNNNNNNNNNNNNNNNNNNNNNNNNNNNNNNNNNNNNNNNNNNNNNNNNNNNNNNNNNNNNNNNNNNNNNNNNNNNNNNNNNNNNNNNNNNNNNNNNNNNNNNNNNNNNNNNNNNNNNNNNNNNNNNNNNNNNNNNNNNNNNNNNNNNNNNNNNNNNNNNNNNNNNNNNNNNNNNNNNNNNNNNNNNNNNNNNNNNNNNNNNNNNNNNNNNNNNNNNNNNNNNNNNNNNNNNNNNNNNNNNNNNNNNNNNNNNNNNNNNNNNNNNNNNNNNNNNNNNCAAAGUAAUUUUCCCUUAAUAUAAUUUUGUUUUGUUUUUUUCUUUGCUUUUGCGUAACAAAAAAUCACUUUUUUUACUAUAAUUUUUCUAGAUAUUUAAAACCCUUAAGAGGGCAUUUUACCUGUUGAAAUGAUACUGGAUCUUGAGUUUUAUAAGUUGAGGUAAAAUUCGGAUCCAGAAAUCCAAAAUUAAGAGGUAUCCCAUAGGCAAUAAUUUUAGAAUGUGAGGAUAAAUAUUGAGAAUAUUUAUAAUCGAAAUUAUAAUUUUUUACUUUAUGACAAUGAUAAACUAUAAAUAGCAUUAUAAACACUAGUAUAAUCAAUUUCACAUCUAAUAGAUUAAAAAACCGCAUUAUAUGCUUUCUAUACUACUGUCUGCACAACAAAACCCUCCUUUUGUUUGCACUUUGAAACAAGGUACUAUUGCCUUUUUCAUAUUAUACUAUUGCCUUUUUCACAUAAAACAAACAUACAAGCUAGCAAACAAUUUGAAACAUAAAACGUUAUUACUAUUGCCUUUUUCAUGUUCUUUUUUCAUUGUUUUCCUUUGGUCUAUUGUCCAUUGAUUGAGUUUUCUUUUAUUUUUAUUUACUAAUUACUCUUCAUAAUUUUUUUUCUUAUUUGAUUUGAUAAACAUUGUAGCCUUUUUUGACUCUCCUUAAUUGUUUGCACUUUGAUAUUAAUGUUCUGAAAUCUAAAGAGUAGAAUUUACAGUAUAAGUGUAAGUUUAGACGGAGAGAAAAAUAUUUCUGUCUUUUUAUCCAUUUUUCUUUUAUCUACUAGUGAUGUCUAACGGUCUCUCUAUUACAGUGCCAUUUAUCUCUAUUAUUCAGGUCCGUACGUACGAACAUGUCAGACUCCCUCUCCAUGCUAAAUGGCCAUUUAAUUCGCUCGGCACGCAUACGGGCAGGGCUGUGAAGUGAUUGGACUACCUGCUCUCUUUCACGUCACAUCACUAGGCUAGAUUAUUUUCUACUAGUUUUUGGCUUGCUUCCGACUCGGCCUACUCUGCGUAUUUAGGCCGAGACCGAGACUUGAGACGUUGAACCGGUCAACUAAAGGAAGGUUUCAUGAGUUUUGAGUCAACGUUAUUCUCUUGGACUUGAUCUCGUCCAAGAUAGAUGAGUUCCGACGGUCAUCGAGUAUGAUAAUUGAGGGAUCUUAGUAGGUGAAUAAGAAUUCAAACACAAAUAAGAAAGUUAAAAAAUUUGUUUGUGAAGGAAAAAAAAAUCAAUACUAUGUUACAUUUUAUUUAAAUUAUCCACCACAUCUUUCAGAAAAUUUCCUAAUGAUAAGUAUGAAGACCCACCAUUCCUUAAAGCCAUUCUGCUCUUCUCACUCAUCUGCUUUACCUUCUUCUUUUUCUCACUAUCAUCCUCCAUCAAACACUUUAUUCCUCUCUCAAUUUCAUCACAUUUCACAAUUUCUCCACUGUCAUUUCUAUAAUCCAUUUUAAUUUCUACUGAUAAUCCCAACUCAAUCACCAUUUCAAAGGCGUUGAACUGUUGCUCUGCAUAUAUUGGCCAUGCGGCUACUGCAACGCCAAACCAUAUGCUCUCCAGUAGAGAAUUCCACCCACAGUGUGACACAAAGCCUCCCACCGCUGGAUGAGCCAAGACAGCCACUUGUGGAGCCCAUCCUAUCACCUUUCCAAUCCUAGCCGUUCGAUCCAAGAAGCCUUCGGGCAAGACUUGUUGUGGAUUCUCGUAGUCGCUUAACGAUGCUUCGGCGGCCGAAGGUGGUGGGUGGCGUAAAGACCACAAGAAUCGAUACCCACUAUGUUCUAGAGCAUAGGCAAGUUCUUUUACUUGAUCUUUUUAAUCAUGAGUUGAUCUGAGUUCCACAUCAGUUGUUAUCGUUGAAUCCCACAUCGAUUGUGGAAAGGGAUAAUGUGCCCCUUAUAUGAGCCACAUACAAUCCUUCUCCUUGAGCUAACUUUUGGGGUGAGUUAGGCCUAACUCAAAUUUAACAUGGUAUCAAAGCCUCCCCAUCCAAUGUUGUGUCUCCCAUAAAUAUGUCAUGCACCAGUAAAAUUCUGGGCGUGAGGGGGUGUGUUGAAUCCCACAUCGGUUGUGGAAAGGGUUAAUGUGCCACAAAUUUAACAGUUGUCAAAUCACGGUGAUAGAUAAAUUUCUAUUUAUCUAUUUUUAUUUGUUUCAUAAUUUUUUUUCAGUUUACUUUAUUAUUUUAUUAUUUCAGUUUAUCUUAUAGUCUCUCUUACAAAAAAAAAGGCUAUAUUUAUGUGAAAAAAAAAUUAUUUCAAUUGUGUAAUAUUUUAAAAAAAGAUGAGAGAAAAAAAAAGAGUGAAGAAAAAAAAAGAUCGUUUCGAUUAUUUGAUUUAAAAAAAAAAAAGAGAAAAAGAGGAGAGAUGUCAAAGUAUAAUUGAUCAAGCAUAAUUUAGCCACAUUUUUAUUAUAUUUAUUAUUGCUUUUUUACACAUUUUCUAGCUUCAUUUAUGAUUUUUAUCUCGUUUUUGAAGAAAAGGAAGAAAAUGGAUAAUUGGAGAAAAAGUGCAUAAAAAGCUGGAAAAUGAUUGGGGCAACGAUCUGGGCAAAUCACUGCCCAAAUCAAACUGGAGCAGAAAACUGGGAUUAACUCACAGACAGUGAUUGGGGCAACGAUCUGGGCAAAUCACUGCCCAGAUCAAGCUGAAGCAGAAACCUGGAGGCAACAGGCAGAAGUGAUAUGGGCAAGUGAUCUGCUCAAAUCACUCGCAGAAACUGCCCAAAUCACUCGCAGAGACAGAAAACUGAAACUGGACAGACUUGCAAAAAACGAUCGGGGCAGAUAGACCAAGCGAUCUGCCCAAAUCACUGCCCCAAUCACAUUGACAGCAAAAUUGACAACAGAGGCGGGAAAACAGCAGGAAACCGAAUUUCGAAUUUUCAGAAGUCCAAAUCCAACUCAAUCACUACCAACACAAUUCCAAGAGCCACGAAAGAGUUUCUCACCUAAGGAAUUCCAGUUGCAAUUAAAUUCAACAUCAAAAGAGGAAUCACAAGCCAAAUUAAAAAGGGAUUUCAAAACCCUAGAAUGAUGGAAUUCUUCAGCUAUAAAAGGGCAGCCUCCAAACCAGCAAGAGGCAUCUCUUCUUCAUCUCAUCUUCAGCAAUUCUGCAGAAAAAUGCAGCAGCUUGUCUCCUUCUUUUCUUCUUCUUUUCUUUUGUGAUUUUGUCCACCAUGAGUGGCUAAACACUUUUCUUUUCUAGUUGAAGUGGAAAAAUUCAGAUUUGUGAUGAAUUGGGAGAUUUAAAUCUCCAUUGUUAAACUUCUAUUUAUUUUCAAUAUUUAUGCAAUUUGAUCUUUCUAUAAUUGUUGCUUUGCUUUUAGAAUCAAUUUAGGCCUAUUGCUUUUAAUUGCUUGAGUAACAAUUGUUUGAAUAAUUUAGGUCCGUAAUUGCUUAGAUUAUUUAAACACACAUUUAAUCAAGUUGCAUAAUCUAAACUUGACCACGCGGUUGGCAAGGUUAUAAUUAGGUUUCUCUAAGUAUUAAUGCAGUUAACAGUUGUUCGAUGCUAAAAGCCCCAAGGACGUUCCUUGGCAACUUGUUAACUAGUGUUUGAUUAGCGAACGUUUCCUAAUCAAACUAGAACUAAGGAGGAAUUUGGAUUGUGAGAAGCGUCUUCCACAUCCUAAACUAAUUUAUUGAAAUAAAUAGGAGUAUCAAAAUAAUCAAUGAUCAAUUCUGAACAAACUGAAAUAGAUCCAUACUUCAACUAGAAGCUUUUCUCCCAUUGAUAUUCUCAUUUAUUUAAACUAUUGCUUUCUCUUGCUUUCUAGAUUUAAUUCAUCAAAACAAAACCCCCCUCUUUUUAUUUAUUUGUUAUUUAUUUGCCUUAGUCAUUAUUAGGAAGAUAUUUGGUAUCAAAUCCCUGUGGUUCGACCCUAUUGCCACUAUCUAUAAAUUUAUUUGUUGAUUGAUAAUAGGUUUAUUUUUGACGGCUUCGACAACCGCUUAUCAAUAAUGUUUCAUUUACAAAAUUUCAUACUGAAUUUAAAGAGGAUCACAAGUGUGUUAAUCAUUUUCUUGUCAUUAUGAUUGAAGAUUUGAAGAAAAAUCUUUUCAAGGAGGGAGAGAUUGAUAUGGGCACGGGAAUGGCAUGAUUCUUUAACAGCAAGUUGUAAAUUGAAGUAUUUAAACUCUUCAAAAAAUUAAUAUGAGAAGUUCUAAAUUAUGACAAGUCAAAUUACAUCGCUUAAUUCAAAACUUACGAGAUGAGAACUAUAUUUGGGACACAUGGGAGAAUAAGAAAAUAAGCAACACACUCUUUAGCACAUAUAGACGCGUAACACAAUUUUAGAUCGCGUAAUGUAUGUAUGGCUGAAUUACACUUAAGGCAAUUUUGUUAUUUUGGUAUUUUAGUAUUUUGUGGAAUUUAUUUUAAAUUAAUUUGAGCUAAAUUAGAAGUCAAAUUUAUACAACCCAUUUAGAGAGGAGAUUUCUCCAAGACAAAUUGGAAAAAUGAUCUUUAAUGUAAUUUAGGUUUGACUAUUUGACUAGAUACACUUCCUAUAUUGUAAUUACACCUUCCCACACUAGAAUUAGGGUUUAGAGGCUAUAAAAACACCUUUAAGGUGGUAGCCACAAUUGGACAAUGAAAAAAAGAUGAUGUUAUAAAUAAUAUUUUGGUUCAAAAAAAUAAUAUUAUGAAUAAUAUUUUAAUUCUUCUCCAUUUUUUAAUAAUUUAUAAGGUUCAACCUUGUGACAUUCUAAUAUAGACUCUAUACUUAGUUAACUUAUCAAGAAUUUCUUGUGGCGUUCACAAGGUGGAGUCUUUUGAUUAUCUAUAUUUCUAAUCACAUUGGUUGGUUAGGGGUAUAGUAGAGUAACCUUUGACCAUAAUCUUCAUUUCUAAUCAUAUUAGUUGGUUAGGGGUGUGGUAGAGCAACCUCUAGAAGAUAUUUUUACCUCGCUCGUUGUCAAGUUGUGUGAUAGAGUUUUUUUAUCACGAGUUGAUCCUGGGUUUCGCAUCACUUAGCGGAGUGUAAUUCUUACACUUACUUUGUUCGUCCUUCUUUCUGUGAGAUGGAGUAGCUCCUUUGAUCUCCUUCAUGGGCUCGUCUCUUGGGCUUUUGAAUUUGCUUUUGAUUUGGCCUCUUGUCUUCUUUUAAUGCCUAAACCUCAUCAUCCAACCUAAUAUACUUUUGGGCGUUGUCUAUCAACUGUUGGUAUGCCGCGACUGGAUUUUUAAUUAAGAAAUCCAUGAACUUGACAUUGCAAGUUACUUUCUUUAACGCCUCACAUGCUAUCUCAUGAUUCAACUCUUCCACCUGUAUGGUUUCAGCAUUGAAAUGAGAAAUAAAACUCCUUAAAGACUCACCUUCUCUCUAGCGAAUCUUCCACAAGUCACAGGAAAAUUUUUGGAAGGUAUACAAGUGAUAAAUCUAGAUUUGAAUAUCGUAGCAAACUGUGUAAAGUUUUAAAUCAAACAUGGGCUUAAGUGUUUAUGCCAUUUUUUAGCCAAACCUGUAAGUGUUGAUGGAAAUACUCGACAUAACAUAAUAUCAUUUGUAUCUUGAAGCUGCAUGGUCAUCCUAAAAAUGGCCAGAUGACUUCUGGGGUCUGUCGUUUCAUCGUAUUUGUCUAAAUUGGACAACUUGAACUUGGCGAGAAAGGUUUCCGCUAGUAAUUCUUUCGAAUGAGGUGAGACACCAUCUAAAUUGAAAUCCUCUUUAUGUUCCUUUUGGUAUCUUCAUACGGCCCGUACUAACUUUCAAUCCACUCCUUUUGGAGUUUCAUUCAAUUCAUCUUCAGAUUUAGACUUUCAUUUAUGCCGCAAUUUGGUCGCUUUCGUCUGAGCCCUUAGGGGUAUCUACGGAGGCUUCAUCCCUUCUUUUAGGAUCCAUUUUAGAUGCCUCUUCUCGAGUCUUAUACUGUCCGAGAGUAGCAUACAACCUUUAGAUAUACUGGAGUAUCUGUUCGUUAUUUAAAUUAUUAAGAUCUGCUUUGUUGAUCACUAGGCAACAUGUUUUCUCAAUUAUCUAGGGUAAAGGAAACGAUGUCUCCCUCAUUGGUAGCAAUGUUGACAGCAGUUGUAGGAAUUUCGGCCAUUUUGAGUGAGGAAAGAUGAUAGAAAAUCGGUCGUGAUCCAAAAGAGGGUUUAAUAGAUUUCCUGACAACGGAACUAAAUGAUGUUUAUGAGAUUAAGCUGAUAACGUGGCUACAAUGGUACUAUGAUAUGGUUGGUAGAAACCUACAAGAAAGGAGACAUGAGGCGGUGGUAGGUGUUCAUGGCAAUCACUUUGACAUGAAGAUAACAGAGAGAAUACAAUAGAUGACUCAGAGUAUUUAUAGUAUUAGAGAUAGCAUAUUUACCUCUGUGGUCGUUCCCCUUUUAUACUAUAAGAAAAUGAAGAUAAAUAUAGUAUUUUUUGAAAAUCCGACAAUUAUGUGGCCUGCUGCUCGAUAAGGGACAUUGCCAACUAAUAAGUCGAUGAUUUCGCGAUCAUAGACGAAAUGGGAGUAUGUUGGAUUAUGCCUGAUAACGGUGAUUCUAUGCCAAGACUCGACCUAUUGGGGAGGGCAAUUCUUGUUGAUAAAUUGGGGUUACAGUAUCCGGAGCUCCCUUUCUUUGGAUGAGACGGUUUUUUCACUUAUCAAAUUUUUGUCACGUAAUUUUGUUUUAUGGUGAUAUCUUAUAAUUUAUUUUGAGCGGAUGUUAUGAAAUAUUAUUUAUAAAAUUAUCAAAAUAUAGAAAUGAUAUAUUUAAAAAAAAAAAUCAUUUUCCUUAAAGUUACCAAGAAGACACCAUAUUCUAAAAGAUCCACCUUUGAACUCUUAUAUGAAGCAAUUGGCCUAGUUAGUUUUUACAAUAGUACUUAAAACCCUGGAGCUCUUACCUUUUUAACUAAAAAGAAAUUUUUUUUCAUUGAUUAAUUUUUCUACGUGUUUUAAAUAGCUAAAAAUGAAAAAAAAAUUCCCUAAAUUUUUUUUGAUUUAUUCACCCAUUAUUUAAUAGAAUCUACCUCUUGUAAUAUUUGAGACUCGAUGUAACAAAAACUGCAAUGAAAACUUUGCAACCAUGGGAAGACCCUAUGAAAUACGAGGCAGCAUAAACUAACAUAGCAAGGGUUAGAAUUUUAAAAUGGGAGAUUUACAAUUUAGUCCCUGAAUAUUGCCAUUAUUAAUAAGUCAGUCCCUGUAUUUUUAGAAACCUAUUAAAACAUCCUUAUCUUUUCUCUCCGUCAACGAAAUAGUCCUUCCGUCUAUUUUUACUGUUAAAAAUAUAGUAAAAGACCAAAUUACCCCUCUUCUUUUCCUUUUUCUCCUCCUCAUUUUUCUUCUUCAUCAAAUCUUCCUCCUUCUUCUGCUUCUUCUGCUUCUGCUUCUGCUUUUGCUUCCGCUUCUUCUUCUUCUUUUGCUUCUUCUACUUCUUCUCCUGCUUCUUCUUCUUCUUCUUCUUCUUCUUCUUCUUUUUCUUCUUUUUCUUCUUCUUCUUCUUCUUCUUCUUCUUCUUCUGCUUCUUCUCCUUCUUCUUCUUCUUCUUCUUCUUUUUCUUCUUCUCCUUCUUCUUCUUCUCCUUCUUCUUCUUCUCCUUCUUCUUCUUCUUCUUCUUCUUCUUCUUCUUCUUCUUCUUCUUCUUCUUUUUCUUCUUUUGCUUCUGCUUCUUCUCCUUCUUCUUCUUCUCCUUCUUCUUCUUCUUCUCCUUCAUCAUCAUCAUCAUCUUCUUCUUUUUUGAGGAGGAGGAGGAGGAGGAGGAGGAGGAGAGACUAUUUCGUUGACGGAAAGAAACGAUAAGGACAUUUUAAUAGAUGUGAGAAAAGAUAGGGACUAUUUCGUUGACAAAAAGAAACAAUAAGGACGUUUUAAUAGAUAUGAGAAAAGAUAAAGACGCUUUAAUAGAUUUCUGAAAAUAUAGGGAGGGACGAUUUCGUUGACGGAAAGAAAAGAUAAGGAGGGACUAUUUCGUUGACGGAAAGAAACGAUAAGAACAUUUUAAUAGAUAUAAUAAAAGAUAUGGACUAUUUCAUUGACGGAAAGAAAUGAUAAGAAUAUUUUAAUAGAUAUGAAAAAAAAUAAAAACGUUUUAAUAGAUUGUUAAAAAUGUAGAGACUAACUUGUUAAUAAUAGCAAUAUCCAAGGACUAAAUAAGGGGUUUUAUUUGAGGGUAAAAUUGGAUUUUAAAAAUUUUCUCUCUCCUCUUUUAUCUAAUUUUAACGGAAAAGAGGACGGAAGAACUAUUUCGUUGACAGAAAGGAAAGAUAAGAACGUUUUAAUAGAUUUCUAAAAAUAUAGGGACUGACUUGUUAAUAAUGGCAAUAUUAUUUGAGGGUAAAAUUGGAUUUUAAAAAUUUUCUCUCUCCUCUUUUAUCUAAUUUUAACGGAAAAGAGGACGGAAGAACUAUUUCGUUGACAGAAAGGAAAGAUAAGAACGUUUUAAUAGAUUUCUAAAAGUAUAGGGACUGACUUGUUAAUAAUGGCAAUAUCCAUGAACUAAAUUAUAAAUCUCCCAUUAUUAAAUUCUAUCAUGCUGAAAAAAAAAGAAAAAAAUAAAUUAAAAAUUAAAAUAACAUAAGGAAGAGCUUUAAAUAUCGAGAAGAGUCCAUUUGGACUUGUAAUUUCUAGUGCUUCUUUCAUUUCGUUUGACGGAUAGCCAAAUCCCAAUUCGAUCUAAAUAAUAUUUCUCAAUAUUUUUCAUUUAAUUUAAAUAAUUAAUCUGUAUUGUUAAAUUUUAGAUAAUUAUAUAUUAAUCUCAUUAUAUCCCUGUUUUUUAACGAUGUGGGACUACUGCCACAGAUAGAUAUCAAUAAAACAAAUUAUUUAAUUGUAAAGUAAUAACCAUUAUUUUGGAGAACUAUUAUUUUAUUUCUAAAAAUAAAAUAGUAGAUUAGUGAGUCAUACAAAAUUGGGAGACAUCUUGUCAAGUUCUCUCUGUCUGUCGCAUAUCAAAAUAAAUAUUAAUUAUCUUUAUAUAUAUAUAUAUAUAAAAAAAAAACAGUUUUUCAGAAUUUAUUUUAUUCAUUCAUCAAAUGUAAACUAUGAUUAUUUUCUGUCUAUUUAAUCAUAUCUUUGAUUAGAUUAUCUAACCAACAGUAUGAAGAUCCACCCUCCAUUAAAGCUCCUCUGCUUUUUUCACUCAUCUCCUUCACCUUCUUCCUUCUAUCACUAUCAUGCUUCAUCAAACACCUUAUUCCUCUCUCUAUUUGAUCACAUUUCACAAUUUCUCCACUGUCAUUUCUAUAAUCCAUUUUAAUUUCAACUGCUAAUCCCAACUCAAUCACCAUUUGAAAGGCAUUGAAUUGCUGUUCUGCAUACAUUGGCCAUGUGGCAACUGGGACUCCAAACCAUAUGCUCUCUAAUAUAGAAUUCCAUCCACUGUGAGAAACAAAUCCUCCGGUGGCCGGAUGAGCCAAGACAGCCACUUGAGGAGCCCAACCUAUCACCUUUCCAAUCCCAGAUGUUCUUUCCAAGAAUCCUUCAGGUAAGACUUCUUGUAGAUCCUCAUAGUCACUCGGAGAUUCUAGAAAACCCGGCGCCGGUGGUCGGCGUAGAGACCAUAAGAAUCGAUGCCCACUAUUCUCUAGAGCACAAGCAAUCUCUUUCACUUGAUCUUUACUGAAACUUCCAUUGCUUCCAAAGCAUAAGAACACUACGGAUGAUGGAGGUUGAUCAUCAAGCCAUUGCAUGAUUUCUUGAUUAGUGUUUCUUCCAUUUGACCUCACGUCUAAGAUGGGUCCUACGGGGUAGAUUGGAGGGUCUUUGAAAGACUCAAUCGCAUGGGAUUCCAGCUCGAAGAACGUAUUUAUUAUAACACCCUUAGCUUCUCCGUAUCUUCUUGUAUUUUCAAGUAGAGGGGGAAACCAUUGUUUGCUCAAAAUUGCAGUAGGCAUAGCCUUAGAAGGAAAUGAGUUUACUAAACCCGGAACUUGUAACUCACCAUCUGACGCGUUGAACUCAGUGGGGUUAAAAUUUUCUUCGUCAUGAAUCUUUUGCACAUGAAGCAUGAAAUUGAGAAAAGCUGCACCCGACGUGUAGAAAAUGUAAGAUGGAACACCAAAUUCAUUCGCCACAUCUAUCAUCGCUGUGCAGAACAUAUCAACAAUGAAACCCACCAACCGAGGCGACUCAACACUUGAACCAGACUCAGUGAUCUUCAUCACAGAUUCUUUAACAUGGGGUUUCUGUUUCUCAAUCAAAGAAGAGAAACUAGAAAUUCCAGUCUCAUCUCUGGGCAGAUAAAUGAAUCGGAGACGAUUGGAGGAGGAAGCAAUCUGAGAAUCAACAUAGUUAUGAACUUUGGAGGUAACUACAGAAUUAUUGAAGAUAAGUACAGUGAUGGAGAGACUGUGACAGCGGCUAAGAAGAAGCUUCGCUGUUUCCACAGCCGAUACAAGGUGGCCCAUAGCAGGGGCGGGGACGAACACAAGCUGUGCUUUUUCCAUUUUUGGAAAUGAUACAAUAUUCUUAUUUUUGCUGCCAAGUAUCGAAGAUGGGAUGAGGACGAUGAUGAUAAGCUUGAAGUAUUUGUAGCCAUAGUGCUACUUGUGGGUGUUGCAAUAAGACAAGAACUGUUUUGUUCUUUCUCUAAGUAUUCUAACCAGACGGGUUAACCUUGGCGGCCAAGAAUUCAAUUGACAUCAUGGCUUUGCUGGUUUGGUCGAUCUUAUAGACAAGGAUUCUUAUUACAAAUUAUAAAGUACACGACUGCUGACCGAGUCUGUUUGAUUUUUUGUUCUUUUCUUAAUAAAGAAAAGAAUUGCGUCUGCAUCGUUCGGCUAGAACGAAUCGCAUUCGGUCGGUUCGGUUCAAAACCGAACCGAACCGAAUAAACGGAAAAUCGAAAUUUUAGUGUUUAUGAAAAUCGAAUCGAACUGAUUUUGAUCAGAAAUCGAUUCGAACCGAACCGGUCUGAUUCGGUUCGAUUCGGUUUGGUUUGAUCAGUUUCGAUUUUUAAUAUUUUUUUUAUUUUUUACAAUUUAUUUUUAGUAUUUUAAAAUUUAAUUAAAAUAUUUUAAUUUUAAUAUGAUUUAAUUUCUCUAUAUUAUUGAAAAAAUAUAUUAUUAUCACUAAUCGAUUCGGUUCGAUUUUUUUAGUUUUUUUCUGAUCAAAAUCAAAUCAAACUAAAAUAACUGAAAUUUCUAAAAUUAAAAAUCGAACCGAAUCGAAAUGAAUAAAAAACCGAACUGAAUUUUUAAAUUAAUUCGAUUCGGUCAAUUUUUUUUAUUUGAACUAAAUACUGCUCACCCUAAUCACUCAUGCGGAAAUUCCAGUUGCCUAACCUUUAUUUUUUACUUAAUGUAAUUUUGUCUUGUUUUUUUCUUUGCAUUUGCGUAACAAAAAAUAACUUUUUUUACCAUAAUUUUUCUAGAUAUUUAAAACUGUUAAGAGGGUAUUUUACCGGUUGAAAUGAUACUGAAUCCUGAGUUUUAUAAGUUGAGUUAAAAUUCUGAUCCAGAAUUCCAAAAUUAAGAGGUAUGCCAUAGGCAAUAAUAUUGGACGGCCUUGGCAACAAAAACAAAAAGAUAAGUCAAAUAAAAGUGAUUUUUUUAUCCUACAAAUCAACAUUUGCAUAACACCGCUGCAACUUGCAACAAAGUUUCAUUAUAAUAAGAACCAUAAUUUAUCAAUUAAUAUUAUUAUCAAUUCAAUAUUAAUAAAUUUCACAUGUAAAAUUUAGCUAUCAUAUCUGUAACGGUAUUUAUUUGAUAAAAAAUUUAUUGGAAGGAAACAUCUGAAAUGUGAGAGCAAAUAUAAAGAGUACCCAUAUAAUUGAAAUCAUAAUUUCCCACAGUAUAGCAGACGACAAACUAUAAAUAGCAUUACAACCAUUAGCAGAAUCAAUUUCACAUACAAUAGAUUGAAAGACCAUAUCAUAUGUUUUUUUUACUACCGCCAGCACAACAAAAGCCUCCCUUGCUACAACAGAAUAACAUCAUAUUCUCAUAGCAAUACCAUGCAUAAUCAUACUUGUACUAUUUCUAGCUACCACAAUAAUAAAAGCAGAAGAAAACUGAUCCAACCAUGCCACAUCACUAUUAAGCUUGAUACAUCUCAAAGGAUGACACGAAACAGCAACUAAAAAAAAUCUACAUGGCUGAGAGGAAGAAUUAACAAAAACAACAGUAUAUUGAAAUAGGCUGAAAUCAAUAGAGAUAUAAUAUGAUGUAGCGAUAGAAUCAGGCUGCACAAAUUCAAAAACACUUUUAUUUCUUUCAUUCCAAAUAUGUCAUAGAGUAAGUGUAGUCAAGAUCAGGAACAGAAGCCCUCUAUGUCCAUUUGAAACCUUUCAAGUAAGGUUUCCCACCAUAUUGCAAAAUUAGGAAAGUCAACAAAUCAGGUUUAUAACCACAAAAACUAAUGAGUUAAAAUGUACGAGCAUAUGGAUGCCAAAAAAAAAACAUGUUCUAAAAUUUCAGAUGAAGACCGACAAAUGGAGCACCUAUGGUCUUGCAAAAUACUUCAUCAAAUCAAAGUAACAGAGACUCUGAUAAUGCAUUGUAAAAGGACGCCAAAGAAAAAUUUAUAAUUUUGGAGGAACCUAAAAAAAUCAUAUGUGCUACGUAGUUUGGUGUAUACCAAAUGAAGAAUAAGGCAUAGAUAUUAUCUACUGAACAGAUGAGCUAUACAUGAGUUACUUACAAAAUCUUGUACUAUAUUACCCAUUACAUGCACAAUGUCAAAUAAGAGAAUUUGGCGUAUCAUCAAUCGGUGCUAUUGAAAUAGAGAGAAUAGCUAUAGCCAAAUGAUGAGUGGAUACUCGCUUCACUACUUGAUAAUUCCAGAUUAACACCCUUGGAUCAAUUAAAUCUGCCAUCCUGUCAAUGUCCACCAGCUAAAUUACAGGAUUAGGGUAAUUUGAAGCUAUCUAAUCCGAAUAUCCAUGGAUCUAACCAAAUAGACAUAUAUGACUAACAUUUUUUAGUUCCAAAUAAAAUAAAUUAUUUUAAAACUUUAAAAGAAAUAACAAUAAUUGAAAGAUGUCAAUAAAUUAAUUUCAUUUCUAAAUAAUAUAGUGAAUAAUAAAUUUUAGCCAUUAAUAAUAUAAAUUAGACUUUCACCCACAAAUUCCCGCCUACUAUAAUAUUGUCUGUUUUAUAUAAAUAUCUAGUAGAUUAUAUAUAUGUUUUAAUAAGUUAGGCUUAUUCAUCAUUAAUCCUUAUUAUUAAAAGUUGGAAAUUGAUUAGAUCUUUUUAUAUAAAUUUAAUUAAGACAAUUCAAUUUAUUAUUUAGAAUUUACAUAUUAUUUGAUUUGAUAAACAUCCUUUUUUGAGUCUCCUUAAUCAAUAGAAUUUUUUGUACUUUGGUAUGAUAAUCGAGAGAUUUUAAUAGGUCAAUAAGAGUAUAAAUUUUUUAAAUGAGUUAUUAUAAUAUAAUUUUUUUUAGUAUAGCCAUAAUAUUUUAUUAGACUAAAAUUAAAUUUUAUUUAUAUGGGAUCGCGAUUUAAGUAUCGAAUUCUCGAAUUCGAUUUUAUAAAAGAAAUUACGAAGAAAAAAUUCAAACACAAAUAAAAAAGGUUAAAAAAUUUGCUUGUAAAAGGGGAAAAAAAAAAUCAAUACUAUGUUACAUUUUAUUUAAAUUAUCCACCACAUCUUUCAGAAAUUUUCCUAAUGAUAAGUAUGAAGACCCACCAUUCCUUAAAGCCAUUCUGCUCUUCUCACUCAUCUCCUUUACCUUCUUCUUUUUCUCACUAUCAUCCUCCAUUAAACACUUGAUUCCUCUCUCAAUUUCAUCACAUUUCACAAUUUCUCCACUGUCAUUUCUAUAAUCCAUUUUAAUUUCUACUGAUAAUCCCAACUCAAUCACCAUUUCAAAGGCAUUGAACUGUUGCUCUGCAUAUAUUGGCCAUGCGGCUACUGCAACACCAAACCAUAUGCUCUCCAGCAGAGAAUUCCACCCACAGUGUGACACAAAGCCUCCCACCGCUGGAUGAGCCAAGACAGCCACUUGUGGAGCCCAUCCUAUCACCUUUCCAAUCCUAGCCGUUCGAUCCAAGAAGCCUUCGGGCAAGACUUCUUGUGGAUUCUCGUAGUCGCUUAACGAUGCUUCGGCGGCCGAUGGUGGCGGGUGGCGUAAAGACCACAAGAAACGAUACCCACUGUGUUCUAGAGCAUAGGCAAGUUCUUUUACUUGAUCUUUUUCAAGACUUCCAUUGCUUCCGAAACAUAUGAACACUACUGAUGAAGGAGGCUGUUCAUCAAGCCAUUUCAUGAUUUCUGGGUGCGUAUUUCUUCCAUCUGAACUCACAUCUAGAAUCGGUCCCACAGGGUAAAUGGGAGGCAUUAUCAAAGACUCGAUUGCAUAUGAUUCUAGCUCCAAAAAUGUAUUUACUACAAUACCCUUAGCUUCUUGAAACCUUCUUAUGCUGUCGAAUAAAGUAGGAAGCAACUCUCUGAUCAACAUUGCAGAAGGCAUAACCCUACCAGUAAACGAGUUUACCAAACUUGGAACUCGUAACUCAGCAUCCGAGUUCUUAAACUCAACCGGGUCAAAUUUCUCUUCAUCGUGAAUCUUCUGCACGUAGAGCAUGAAACCAAGAAAUGCUGCACCUGAAGUGACAAAAAUAUAAGACGGAAAACCCAAGUCAUUAGCCACAUCAAUCAUCGGCGUGCAGAACAUAUCUAUGAUAAAACCUGCAAGUCGAGGUGCAGGUGAGUCGGCGGCCAACUCAGAUUGAGUGAUCUUCAACACAGCUUCUUUAACAUGGGGUUUCUGUCUCUCAAAAAAAGAAACAAAGUCUAAUAAUUCAAGCUCGUCUUUGGGCAGAACAAUAAAUUGGAGACGAUUGGGUAUGGUGGAGGAGGAAGCUUGAAGCGAUUCAAUGUAGCUAUGAAACUGACUGGGGUUGCCGGAAGAGAGGUUGAGGACAAGGACAGUGAUCGAUAAUCGGUGAUCGUGGGUAAGAAGAAGCUUCGCAAACUCUACUGCAGAUACUAGAUGGCCCAUGCGAGGCCAGGGUAUGAAGACGAGCUGCGCUUUCUCCAUUUUACUCAAGAUACUACACCGUUUGCAGCAAAGUAUAGAAGAUAAAGAAUUUGUUUGCUGCACUAGCUACUUGUGCUUAGUGUUGGACUUGAACGUCCCUUUAAGUAAAGAGCCAUGAAUGAAAACUGACGUCAGGGCUUUGCUGAGUGGUCUGAUCACUAUCGGCAAAUAUUUAUUUAGUAAAAUAUUAUAUCGUUUUGGAAAAAUUACUUUUAAUCCUUACACUAUAGCCUAAUUAAUAAAUUUAUUCAUUUAAUUUUAAAAUCUAACACUUUCAUCUUUAAAAUUUAAUUUAAUUGAAAUUAAAAGUAUUUCUGUAAAAAAUAUAGUUAGUGACAGAAAAAAUAACCGAACUACUCUAUCUAUAACUCAACAUUUAGUCUUUUUAAUUUAAUUCUUAUAAAUUUAAAAAUGCCUCUCUCAAAAAAUUAAAGGAAAAAUACCUUUUUAUUCCUAAAAUAUUAUAUAAUUAAUAUAUUUAUCCUUAAAAAAAUCUAAAAUAUCCCUAGUAUAAAGAGACUAAUUAAUAAAUUUUUUAAUAAUUUAAAAAACUAACUAAUAAUUUUUUUUAAACUAUAAGAACUAAAUAAUAAAAUUUUUAGUGAUAAAAUUAAUAGAGAAAAUAACCGGUAGACUUUUUAAAAUAUUAUAAAAUUAAUAGAAAAAUUAACUAAUAGUAUUUUUAAAAUUUCAGAUAUAUUUUAAUAUAUUUUUUAAAAUUAAAAGAUUAAAUAGUGAAUUUUUUCAUAUUAUAAAAAUUAAAUAGUAAUUUUUUUAUUUUAUUAUUAAUAUGUACAUUUUUUAAAUUAUGUUUAUUCUCUUUCUUUUAUUAAAUAAAAAUUAUUAAUUUAAUAGAAAUUUUUAGUAGAAAAAUUUUGAAUUUUAAUAAAAUUAAAUUUUAAAAUUGAAAGUGUUAAAUUUUAAAAAUAAAAAAAUAAACUUAUUAAUUAUAUCAUAUAAAUUAAAAACUAAAAAAUAAUUUUACCCAUCAUUUUAUUUUCCGGAUGAAGUUUAAUUUGAUAUUACUAAAAUUAUGUUUGAAAUUAUAGACUUUCAUUUAAAAUUCAAUAAAAAAAAUUAUCCUCCUAAUUCUUUCAAGCACUCUCCAUCUUGAAAUAUAUUUUUUUAUUUAUCUCAAUUUAUUUUAUAGGUUUUUAAUAUAUAUAUAUAUAUAUAUUUAUUGGUAAGUCUUUAUUUAAUAUAUUUUAAUUAAAAAUAAAGAUAUUUUAAUUUUAAAAGCAGGAAGGAAAGUUGGAUCACUGGGUGGAGGCAAAUAAUUAAAAGAAGUUUUUUCUUUUUUUGAUGUGACAUUCCAUUAACUGUUCAGCGACUUUAAUUUGUCUUUGUUGGCUGUUUGUUGCUUGUAUGUUUUUUUUGUUAAAUCUCCAAUAAAUUAUCAAAUAAACUAUUCUUAGUAAGACAAUAAGUUAAUGAUUCCUUUCCAAUAGACGUGAGACAGAUGGACGACUGGUUUUGUAAACGCUUGCAUGACCAAUUAAAUUCUUGUUUGAAAUAAUUUACUUUUUGAAAAAUAUAGUUUUUAGAAUUUUGUUUAUUAAAAUUGUAGUUUGGUUUGAAAUAAUUUACUUUUUAAAAAAUAUAGUUUUUAGAAAUUUAUUUAUUAAAAGAAGAAUAUAAUUUAAAUUCUAGUUUUUUUUAAAGCAAUUUAAAUUCCAGUUAAAUAAAUUAUUUCCUUUGAAUGAGAGAAGUAAAAUAUUUUAUUUAUUCAAAACUUAACUUGAAAAUAUAAAUUAAAUAUUCUCAAAAAAUAAUACUUUGUUAAUUAUCCAAAAAUCAAAAAAAUAAAAUUUUACGGUACGAAAAUAAACUUAACUUUAAAAAAUUAUAUAUUUUUAUUUAUUUAUUUAUUUUUUAUUUUUCAAAAACGUAUAAUUGUCAUCCUACUAUCGUGUCACUUAUUUUUAUCAUUCAAAUCUGUACAUAUAGAUGUAUCAGCAUACCCCUAUCAGACAGCUAUUUAAUUUUCUGUGAGAUUAUUGAGUCUACUCUCCUAUUUUCCAUUAUAUCAUCGUGCUAGACUAUCAUCUGAUGGAUCCGCACAUAAAAUCAAUCCGGCCUACUUUAAUUGCGGGCUGAAAUGUGUAAUAUUGAAUCGAUCUGCUGUAAGAGUUACGAUGAAUUUUUAGAUUUAUAAUUUUUUUUAGAGUCUAGCUUUACCCAAAAUAUAAAAAAUCCGAGAAUCAUCACCAUACCAACUAACACUACAAAUUCUACCAUCCAUGUCUCUUACAAAUGCUACUCUUUCUAUUCUGCUUAACAGCACAAUCAAAAUAGAAAUUUUAUUACAAUUUCAUCACAUCAUUUAUAAAACGAUCUAACCAAUAGUACGAAGAACCACCAUCCAUCAAAGCCUUUCUGCUCUUCUCACUCAUCACCUUCACUUUCUUCCUUCUAUCGCUAUCAUGCUUCAUCAAACACCUGAUUCCUCUCUCUAUUUCAUCACAUUUCACAAUUUCUUCACUGUCAUUUCUAUAAUCCAUUUUAAUUUCAACUGCUAAUCCCAACUCAAUCACCAUUUGAAAGGCAUUGAAGUGUUGUUCUGCAUACAUUGGCCAUGUGGCAACUGGGACACCAAACCAUAUGCUCUCUAAUAUAGAAUUCCAUCCACAAUGAGAAACAAAUCCUCCAAUGGCUGGAUGGGCU